rnacentral:misc_RNA from 1 species
CCAAUAGCGUAUAUUAAAGUUGUUGCAGUUAAAAAGCUCGUAGUUGAAUUUCGGGAUCAAUAUGCUGGUCGUGCCUUUGGUACGUACUGGCAUUAUUGGUUUCUCCUUUCUGAUGAAUCACGAUGUCAUUAAUUUGGUGUCAUGGGGAAUCAGGACUGUUACUUUGAAAAAAUUAGAGUGUUUAAAGCAGGCUUACGCUUGAAUACAUUAGCAUGGAAUAAUGAAAUAGGACGUUUAAUUCUAUUUUGUUGGUUUCUAGGAUUGACGUAAUGAUUAAUAGGGAUAGUUGGGGGCAUUAGUAUUCACUUGUCAGAGGUGAAAUUCUUGGAUUUAUUGAAGACUAAUUACUGCGAAAGCAUUUGCCAAGGAUGUUUUCAUUAAUCAAGAACGAAAGUUAGGGGAUCGAAGACGAUCAGAUACCGUCGUAGUCUUAACCAUAAACUAUGCCGACUAGGGAUCGGAUGAUGUUAAUUUAUGACUCAUUCGGCGCCUUACGGGAAACAAAGUGUUUGGGUUC